rnacentral:lncRNA from 1 species
UUCAACAGAGACAACACCGUGGAGAUCUAACAUAACUUUAACUUUAACCCUUGUUUUUUCGCCAUGGGAGCAUUGGAAAGGGCCAAUCUACAUAAACAGCAGCCCUUAUUGAGGAAGUAACAGUAAUCCAAUUAAAUAAAAGGUAUUUUCAUUGCACGGUAAGCCAAAACAAAAGGAUCUAAAUGACAUUUGCAUUGAGCAGAUAGUAAAUCUUUUUAAUUGGGUUUUGGUGGCAUCUCUCUCCCUCUAAUGCCCACACAUAAACAUUUAAUUGUUUGACAUGUCAAAUACUGGAGUCGUCUCCCCCAACUGUUCUAUAAAUUGUCUAACUAAAAAAAAACAGAAGAUUUUAAUCAUCCUAAAUUCUUAAUCUUAUAGAGGCUUCAAAGAUUAGACAUUGAACUUAGUGUUCAGUGGUAACAUGAUUGCCUUUGAUUUACUUUCACUUCUCUAUGUGGUCAUCCUUUCUACACAUUUUUAUCAUGCAUCCCCACCAAUUCCCCUCUACCACCCCACUGAAAAAAAGGGAAUGAAGAGCAUAGUAUAUUACAGUAAAACAACAAAUGUCAGGAGAAGUGCCAGCAGGCACUUCGCUGGGAUUAGCAUAGAAUGCUUUCAAAUGAAAUAAACUGCUUCGUCGAAACAUCAGUUCUUUAACACUUGGAAUGGGUUGGCCUUUUGGAAACAGGAUGCCACUUGUCCCUGUGCAAAUUGGAGCUUCAUCGAUUAAGAAUGCUAUUGAGAAAGGAAUUGAGUCUUGAACCUGCAUAGAGAUCCGGGAAAACCAUUACAAACAUUGUGGACAACUAUCCAGAUAGCAAAGACGUCUCACAAGUGUGUCUACAUUUUACAAUUAAAGCCACAAGUUUGUGCUUUGUCGGUAGGGGUUUUUGGAAUGCACAUCAAUUCCAGAAUGAGUAAGCAGUCGUUACCCUUUGUCAUACUCUCAAAUUUCAAAAGAUAAAAAAAGAACCGAAAGAAGGGAAAAGAAGGGGGGGGGGUGGUGGUGUGGGGGGGCAUUGCAUAGAACAGCAUAGCAUUACUGAUGCAUCUCUUGUUCUAUACAGGGGCAGAACAGCGUAGUAUUACUGAUGCAUUGCAUAUGAACAAACAUAUCAUGGUAUUCUUAACUGACAGUAAAGCACUGUAUUUGUGACCAUGAAUUGAAAGUUUCAAAAUACAAACCUCAUGUUCUCUGACUCGAAAAACAGGACUGAGCAUUGCACAUUGAAGAGCGCAUCCACGUGCUACACACUCACUCGCAUUCAGCGUCCGGCCAGGUUCUUUCCUGAACACAGAAGCUAAUAUUCUAGCAACCGCUGGAAUCCUAGACCCUGACCCGACAAGCUCCACAGAAUGAAUCUUAUCAGCAGUCAAACCUGCAUCAGAUAGAGCUUUGCUACAAGGAACACCAAUUCUCUCCAACAAACCUGAAGCCAGCAUCUCAAAGUCUUCCCUUUUAAUAAAUCCCCUGACAUCUUUUUCAUCCAUUAAGCACUCAAUAUUAAGAGGUGCCUCCGUAUUCGCACUCAACACUUUCUUCAGCUUCUCACAUGCUGCCCGUAGCCUGAUACUUGCCUUCACAUUAGAGUACACAUCAAUCCUGUACUGCUCCUUGAACUGUGUGGCAAAAUGAUUAAACAAGACCUCAUCGAAGUCUCUCCCUCCCAAGCUUCUGUCAAAAGUAUGAGAUAGUAUCUUCAUUUGCCAAGCCUCAAAUGACGCAAUAGAGACCUGUGUAUCACAGUGACCAAUGUCAAUAAAUGCCACAUAAGUUGGACCAGAAGUUGAGAAAUCUGUUUUGUAAACUCCAUAACUAUGAGCAGUUGCAGUACAGUCAUGCAUCAAUCUCAAAGGCUUCAACCCAGCAACUGUGGCAGCAUCCAAAUAUGCACGUCUUUGGAAGUCUGUAAAGUACGAUGGAAUUCCAAUCACACAUCUGAAAUGGGCAUUUCCUGAUUCUUCUCUAUUAGAUCUUUCAAAUGUGCAAAAAGCAUUGCUGUAACUUGAACUGGCGUAAAUGUAUGAGUCGCGCCCAAGUACUUCAAAUGAAUCAAAAUGCCACCAUCUGGAGCUUCAGAAGUUUCAAAGGGCAAAAUUCGAAGGUCACGUUGAACAUCAGGCUCAGUAAAUUUUCUACCGAUCAGUCUCUUCACCUGAGACACCGUAGAUUUCGGGUUCAUCAUUGCAGAGGCAGCACCAGCAGACCCCAGAAACCUCUGCUUCUCACCAAAACAAACCACAGCUGGGGUUUCACGUUUCGAUUCAUCAUUCAACAAAACAUCAACUCCCCGUUGCUUCACCACCGCAAUUACACAAUUCUCAUUUCCAACAUCAAACCCCACCACACUCAUGUUUAACAAAAUUUCGAAACGAAACUAUCGGCACCAAUUAAGUUCCACAAAACCUACAAUUCAAUCCCAACACUGCAAAGAAGAAAAAAGAUACACAGAAAUGUGAAUUCAAUCUACUUCAAACAAGCUUUCACUAACAAAUGCUUAAACAUUUUUAUUAAUAACUGCUGUUAUACGUUUAUCAAAUUCCUAAACCCAGGUAAAUUUAGCCAUCAGUACAUUUCAAUUUUCGAAAUCUGAGGAUCCAGGGACUCAAAAUUCCAUCAGGAUAUUUAAUUUUCCUUCAAUUUUCCCAGAAACCAAACAAAAUUCAAAUGUCAAAUAUUUCAAAAGCAAAUCCGCAAAGUACUACCAAAAUCUGCACAGAAAUGAUGAAUUGAGCAGGCUGAGGAAGGUGAUUGCAGUACCGUUUGAGAAACGACGUUCCGGAAAGAAACCGAAGAAGAACACCAUGAAAUUGGGUAAUUUCAGAGAGAAGAAGAAACUAUUAACAAAACUGCAGAAACUUAAGAACUAAGGAAAAUGAAGCACGAAGAAUUUGAGAGAGAAAGAAUGAGAGCUGAUUUCAUAUCAGUAAAGUUGUUACAACUGUUGAUCUUCUAGCUAUUUAUAGAAGCUAGGUAAACUUAAUGACUAAGAAGGCUUCUAAUUAACUCAUGCUACAAGAUUGUGACACAUGUACACUCAAGAUCAUUACACCUAUCCAUUUAGAGACUUACACUUAAUACCCCCCUCAAUCUCGAUUGGGGUAUCCUAGCUUGAGAUUACCCCUGUUGAGAUUGGAACAAUGCUGCAGAAAUAAGGGACCAUGAAGACCUUUGGUCAAUACAUCUGCCACUUGAUCAUUUGUAGAAAUAUACUCAACCAACAAAUUUCCCUUUUGAACUCGUUCACGAACAAAGUGAAAAUCUGUAUCAAGAUUUUUUAUCUGAGUGUGAAAAACCGGAUUAGAACACAAAGCAAGUGUCUAAACAUUAUCACAGAAGAGAAGUGGAGGAGAUGGCAAGAAAAUAUGCAGAUCCUUAAGAAUCAAAUGUAUCCAUGCUACAUCAGCAGUAGCAUUAGCCAAUGCUUUAUAUUUUUCUUCUGUUGAACUUCUGGAAACACUUCUUUGUUUCUCUGACUGCUAAGAAAUGGGAUUGGGACCUCAGAAUACCACAAAGCCAGUUGUUGAUCUUCUAGUGUUUACAUCUGAUGCCCAAUCAGCAUCACUAUAAGCAGUUAAAUCCAUAGAAGCAGUAGCAGAAAAUGUGAGAGCAUAACGCAUAGUGCCUUGUAAAUAACGCAAAAUCCUUUUCACCAAGGAAAAAUGCAAAUUUGUUGGAGUGGACAUGAACUGACAAGCAUAAUUAACUGCAAAAAGCUAUGUCAGAACGUGUAAAUGUAAGAUGUUGUAAGACACCAACCAGACUACGAAAUAAAGUAGGGUCAGAGAUGAGUGUUCCUUCAUCUUUAAACAAUUGAGUAUGUGGCUUGCAAGGAGUGAAAGAUGGUUUGCAUGAGUCCAUGGAUGCCUUGUGAAGUACAUCUUUUACAUACUUAGAUAUGAACAAAUCCCCAUUGUCCUUGUAAGUAAUCUGAAGACCCAAUAAGUAUGUCAAUAAUCUCAUAUCCUUCAUAUCAAAUACCUCUCCUAGCUUAUCAAUCACUUCUUGCACUAACCCAGGUUAUGAACCAAUGAUAAUUAUGUCGUCGACAUAGAAGAGAAGAAUCACAACUUCAUUGUCUAGAGCUUUAACUAACAAACUGGGAUCGGAUUUAGAAACAACAAAUCCCAAAUUAGGUAGAUAGGUGGUAAAUUUCAAGUUUCAGGCUCUAAGAGCUUGUUUAAGUCCAUAGAGAGACUUAACAAACUUACAAACAUACUGAGGAUGAUUAGGGUCUUUAAACCCUUGUGGUUGCUUCAUGAACACCUCUUCUUGAAGAUCACCAUUUGACAUCUAAUUGGCGUAACUUCCACCUUUGUGACGCUGCAAGAGCAAGGACAAGUCUUACAGUUGUGUGUCUUACUACAGGGCUAAGUGUAUCAGCAUAAUCUAACCCAUGUUCUUGACUGUAGCCUUAGGCCACUAAGCGAGCUUUAUAUCUGGAAACCUUGCCAUAUUGAUCCUUCUUAAUCUUAUAAACCCACUUACUUCCUAUCACAUUCCUAUAAAUUGGUGGUGGAACCAACUCCCAUGUUCCCUGUUUUUGCAAAGCAUUGAACUCUUGUACCAUAGCAUUCCUCCAGUGAUCAUGAACAACUGCUGUUCUAAAAGUAGUAGGCUCAACAGAAUCAUGAAUAGACAAAACAGCAGUGUAACCCUUGAACACAACAUCAACAGAUUCACUAGCAUUUGUCUCAGAGAAAUCAGCGGUAGAUGCUAUAUAGGAACUAUAAUCUUUCCUAGAGAUGGCACCAGAUUUAAGUCUAGUUGUCAUAGGAUGACUUGAAGAUACAACGGGUAAAUCAGAAUUAGCAGCAGCAUUUGAAUCAUUAUUUGGAUCAAGUGAGAGAGUUAACCACCACUGUGAUGAACACUGCCAGAUGGUGUAUUCUGCCAAUUAAUCGAAGAAUCCAUAGUGUUACCACUUGAAUGAUCAGGCCUAUUAACUGAAGGUAUUAUAAUUGGAACAAGUAUGGGAUGCUUGUCUAAAGGAGUAUAUAACUGCUGUGAAGAAGAACGCACAGAACUCUCCAUAAAUGGAAACACAGUUUCAUCAUGGACCACAUGUCUUGAGAUAAACAAUUUUUCAAAACUCAAAUCCCGCCCAAUAAAUCCCACUCUUCCAGUCUCACCCAUUUUUCAUCUCCCUCCAAUUUUCCAUACCCAAAAUCCAUUUUCUCGAUUUCUCUCCAUGGCCGACUACGAGCCUCCGUCGUUCUCUCUCGGACUCGACCUUGGUUUCGAUUCGCAGCUCCAACCAGCUGCCGCGAACCACUCCACACCCGCCGCAGCUCCAAACUCUUCGCGGGGUUCCAAUGCCCAUACACCCGUUGAGGUAGAUGAGGAGUUAGAGCCUCAAAUCACGGGCCCGGAUCCAGAUCCUGGGUCCUGACCCUGCCGACCGCUCAAGCGGCUUAAGAGAGGGGAGGCUGAGAAGCCGAACCUACGCCGUGUCGUAACGACGAUAUCGAAGAUUUCUCGUCUGGGGAAGAUUUUGUUCAAGGUAAUGAUAAAGAUUUAUCAUUUUUGUUCGUUUAGGGUUAGCUGGAAAUGGGAAGAGAAUAAAUGUGUGAUCUUUUAUGCCGUAUUUGAUAAAAUUGGGAAACAAAAUUGGGGCAAAUAACGUUAAUUGUUUGCAGAUGCUUAGGAGUUAGGAGAAUAGAGUAAUUGUAAAGGAAAUAUUUUUUGUUUCAUUUCGCUAUCGAUUUCGAAGGAACAAACAUGGAAUGUAAUUAGGAAGUUGGUAACUGGAAGAAAGUAGUAUUUUUUGUUAGAUUUGCAGAUGUAAUGCAAUGGGGUUUUUGAUGUGGUAAGGGGCCCUUUUGCAAAACUCAUGGAUCUUGGUGAUUUGGGAAUUAGGGUUAUGUGCAGUAUGAACUUUGAGAUGGGAAAAUGGUUAAUUAUGGUUGCAUCUCUGACAUCAUUGAUGUGUGCAUCUCUCUCCUAAUGGAUUAAAAUAUCGAUAAUAUCGGCGAUAUUUCGCCAAUAUUAUCGUUUUGGUGAGAGUCCGAUAUUUUUACACCUAUCCACUUGAUUAUCGUCAAUAUAUCGAGAUAAUAUCGAUAAUAUCGCGAUAAUAUCGAUAUUACCGAUAUUAUCUCGAUAUAUUAGGCUGGGAGCCGGAGACUCCUCAGAGGCGCCACCCUGAGCGCAGAUCCGAAGGCCAGAGCGGUGACUGCGGUGGCGACGAGGGUGGAUACGAACAAGGGGGAGAUGGAUGCGGCGGGGGAGGUUGGGAUGGGAGCCGGAGACUCCUCGGAGGCGCCACCCUAAGCGCAGAUCCGAAGGCCAGAACGGUGACGGCGGUGGCGACGAGGGUGGAUACGAACGAGGGGGAGAUGGAUGCGGCGGGGGAGGUUGGGAUGGGAGCCGGAGACUCCUCGGAGGCGCCACCCUGAGCGCAGAUCCGAAGGCCAGAACGGUGACGACGGUGGCGACGAGGGUGGAUACGAACGAGGGGGAGAUGGAUGCGGCGGGGGAGGUUGGGAUGGGAGCCGGAGACUCCUCGGAGGCGCCACCCUGAGCACAGAUCCGAAGGCCAGAACGGUGAUGGCGGUGGCGACGAGGGUGGAUACGAACGAGGGGGAGAUGGAUGCGGCGGGGGAGGUUGGGAUGGGAGCCGGAGAGACUGAAAGCACAAAGUGGGGUUGGAUUUGAGAUCCAAUUUUGAGGUUCUAAAAGUGAAAGGGCGAAGAAGAACGCAGAUGAGGGAAGAGAGAGAGAGAGAGUAAAAGAUUCAGUUUUGGGUUUCUGAAAGGUCAAAAGUUGGUGAUGGGGUAAGGUGGACAGCUAUUUACAUCAGAUGGGUUAUUAUGAAAACCACCCACUUGCAUGGGCGUGGGAUUUUUAUAUUUUAAAAGUUUGGGAGGUAUAUUAUAUUAUUAUAUGUAUAUAAAUGUUAUAUAAAUUAUAAAUUAUUAGAUUUUUUUUUUCUUAGGCAAGCAUAUUAGAUAUGUACAUAAAACAUUGACAUAUGUAUGUUCUUUUAUAAGAAAUAACAUAUUAUUCAAUAAUUAUUUACAUCUGAUAUAGUAAAUUUAAUUAAUUCAUAUAAUAUAUAAGAAAUUUACCUAAAUCCGCCUAGACCGUCUAGGUGCCCGCCUAGAUCCCACCUAGCCACCUAGGCGCUAGGCGCCAGCCCACCGUCCGACUAGCGCUUAGCGUUUUUUAGAACCUUGGUAUUUAUAGCUGGGGUUUUUUGUGGGUAGUGGCGGGCAGGUCGGGCAGCUGCCCGUUAGAAACAGGCUGGCCAAUUGUUAUUGGUUCGGCUCAACAACUCACAUUGCUUAAUCCCUUGCUUAAAUGAGUGUAAAAUAUUGUACUAAUUCAUUAUAUAUAAAUGAUUAUGGUGUGUUUAAACUUCUUUCAUUAAUUACUACAUAUUUUCUACACUCAUAAUGUUUGCCAGCUCGCUAUAUAAUCAACUUAAAUCAGUUAAAUCCAUCAUGCAAUGCAUUUCCUUCCAAUUUUUUGUGAUAAACUAAUAGAUAAUUGACUAAAUAAACAUCCUGCAAAGUUUCAAUAAAAAUUUCCAAGUUUUUCUUACAAUUUCCGUGGUUUCCAUGUAAUUUUUAUCGAUAUCGAUAUUAUCCCGAUAUUUCCAUCGAUAUUUCCGUGUUUUCGAACUACCGAUAUUUCCGAUAUUACCGAUAUUUUCUUCCUUGCUCCUAAUGCUCUCGUUUUGUCGCCAGGUUUAUCGUUCGGCAGCCUACAGACGGUAUAAGAAGGUACAUAUAAACCCGUCCAUGCUUCUCCACGUUUCAUUCUUCUCUUAAUGCAGCUCACACAUUUGUGCAUUUCAUCGACAGGAAAGUGGACGUUUUAAAGAAAAAUGUUCCCAAGGAGAGGUGAGGCUGACAGUUAAUGGCCAUGUACCAAAAGUAUUUCUGUACCAUUUCUUGUCGAUAAUUUUACUAUCCGGAAUCUUCAUAAACUCUUUGUGUGAACACUUAUUUCUUGAAAUAAAAAAGAGAUUUGUGUUUUCAUAACCUGGGAUCUACAUGUAGAUUACAUUUCUUUUGCUAUUAAGAUAAUACAUUUUGAAUCAUUGCUCUCGCUCGAGUAAUGAUUAAUUACAACCAGUUGGUUCUAUGACGGAACUUCAAUUGUUAAGAUUUCGCAGUUAAGCCAUUGAGAUUAGUCUAGGUCGUGAUAAUAAAUUGGAAAAUCAUCAGUAUUAAGUCACGAGUAUGAUUCCCUACAUUUUGGUUUUUAAAUAAAAAUUAAAAAAUAAUAAUAAUAAUUCUAUUGCCGUAAUGUUUAGGGAAAUGUUUUUAUAUUAAUUAACAUAGAUAUGUAGAAGAAGAAAAAGAUAACCAUUUCCACUCAUGGAUUAGGCACUUUCUAACCUAUCAUAUCAACUCAUAAAAUGUGACAAUUAGCGUCUCUGAUCACCAAGUCCGCGGUUACAUGUUCACUAUGUACAAACCAUUUGGUUUGGUGACUUUAGGGCUGGUUUGGUAUUGCUGUGCUUUGAAAAAAAGCUGCUGUGAGAAUAUGCGGCUGUGCUGUGAGAAUAAGCGGCUGUGAAAUAAAUCAGCAGAGUGUUUGGUAAACUUUUUUGUAAAAGUGCUUUUGAAAAAAAAAAGCAGUCUAAUAGUGGGUCUUUUCAUUAAAGAAGCACUGUAGCUUCGUGUGCUUUGAAAAAAAAGCCAGUUUUCCAAAGCUACAAAUAGCAGCUUCAGCUUUUUCCUUUGAUUUCAGCUUAUUCUCACAGCAGCUUCCAAAAUAAGCCCUUUUUUUUCAGUUUACCAAACACCUAAAACCCUCACAGCUUUUUUUCAUGGGUGCUUUUUUUUUAAGCACCUCACUCCCAAACUAGGUCUUAAUCGAUCGCCAUGGGCUGCUGCGACUCAAUAUGACAAGCUGUCAAACACGGCAAUAACUUACCUAUCACAUGUUGUAUACCCCUCUCUCUGGCCUUCGUCACAUGAUUAGCAAUGUGAUGAGAGGGAGAGAGGGGAACACAACACAGGAUACAUAAGUUCCUCUUCUCAAACACAGUAACAAUAGGUUUAUAUUCAAGCAUCCUAAAUCUUCCAAUCAUGAAGGUACAAGAAGUUUAUUUGCUACAUGACAAAUGCACAUAACAAAGCAAUUCAUCGGGCACAAGGGAGACAAUAUUUCUGCUCAUGCUUUCGGAAUACUUGCUUUCCCUCAAAAAUAAAACCCACAAAAGAAGGAAAACUGUCCCUGAAGAAAACCUCUUACACAACAUUUGAUGCUCUGAAACAAAAAGCACUCGCAAACACGGUCAGGACUCAGGACUAGCAAAAACCAUGGAUUAUGUUAGCAACAAAGUGUUCAAAUGACUGCUUCAAGCGCUUGGGCAAUAUAUGCUCCGUAUUACUAACUUCAUGAGACCUCAUCAGUUUGCUCAAGACAAUAUCAUUGACAUAGGUCUUCGGCAGAAGAACAAGCAAAAAUCAGAGUCCGAUAUUGACUAUUAUGUUCUUGUAUACUGCUGCCCAUCCAUUCAAAGGCAAAACCGUGAAUGCAACAGAAACAGUUGUCAGAACAAAAAAGAAAGUAGGGCUUUAAAUUUUUUUUGUACGCAUCCUGCAUUGUUCCACUCACUAGUGAUCAGAAAGUGUCAUGUUGGUUAGAGCCCUUGUGGUCCUCGCGAUUAGGAGCCCUGGAUCUGAAUACAUGGUUGCAUCUCCUGAAAUGAUUAGAGUAGCAUGAUUAGUUUCUAGAGAUCGAAAACCAAAUGUGACAGCAACACCAUAGGAAUUAAGUGAAUCGAGAAAACAGCAGCAAACUAGGGAAAUGCAUAAAAGUUGGUGUAGUGCAAAUGAAGGAACAAGUUACCCCAAUCAAACAAUCAUAAAUACUCCCCAUAUCAUUUGUUUCUUAUUUAAUCCAUCAAGGUGGGAUAUAUUAGAUGUUACCACCAGGUUAGAUACAUUUUCAAAAAGGAUUGCUUUGGCAAAACAACUUAAUGAUCUGCAGUCCUACAUUUAAAAAGUCUUUGCACACCAUGUUGACAAAAUUAAGAACAUCAAAAAGAACAUGGAGCAUUAUAAUUAAAGUCAAGUCGGAAGCUAGGAAGUGCAAGAGUAUUACGACUUCAAUUCCUCAUUCCUGCUCCUAAUAUCAUUUGACCAUAAGACUGGGUCAACAUUCUUUGGCAAUGAGUCUUGUUGUUGGUUUUUGUCCCUAAGCCACUGCUCCACUUUAUAGCACUCAUUAACAACCUGAAACAUGAAAAGUCAAUCGCAGAAGAAAAUUUAAUAGUCACAUUUAUAUGAGGCAUAAGUAACUAACUGAAUUGUCAUACCGAUUCUCUAUCCAUGAGUGGAAGUGAAUUCACAGCCAUCCGGUAAUCCCCAGUGCACUUCAACAGAUCUCUUGUAGCUUGUAAUCUUGCUUCCUCAUCUUUAUAUCGGUUCUCAAUUGGAUCUACCAGCUAGAGUUAUCAAAUAGACAUCAAGAAUGGAGAAAGAUAACCGGAAUUUAAAUUCUCAAAUUUCAAGAAGUGGAGAAAACCUUCUGAAGAUCUUCCAGCUUUGAAGUAUAAGCAUUUUCUGUUUCAUCUUCUCCAUCAUCAUAAAGCCAUUCCUCUGUCUGCUGCAGGCUCCUGGAGAUGCCCUCCCUCUCUUGAUCACUUGCAAAGCUUCGAUAUGUGUUGAGAAGCUAUUCACAUGCAUGUCCUUAUGUUAAAAAGCCAGCCUCUGGCAAAAAGUGGCAGCAUGAACUAAAAGAUCUACGAGAGUCUGACUAAGCCAAAGUCAAACAUGCUCAGGAAUGGAUAAUGACACAAACAGAGAUACAGCAAUAAGGGACUGAUUUUUUGCCCAAAGAUAUAUAGAACUGAUUAUCAUCCCAUACUAUAGAACAGUUCAAAAUUGUUUGCUUAAAGAAAAUAAAGAGUAGUCACAAAGCUUAAAUCCUAAUAUUACUAGAUGCAGUGUUCCCCAUUGUGCAUUUCGGUCUUUAUCACACCCACACCAUGAAAACCAAAUUUUUGAGUUGGUAAUAUUUACUCCCAGGCCACAUGGGGAUUAAAACUAUUCCGGUAUUAGAAGUAGAAUGUCAGUGCUAUGUCCUUAUACUGCUUCAAAAAGGCAUAAGUCAAACCACGGCAAAGUGUUUGAGCAGGCAAAGCCGAAGCAAACAUGAUGGAAAGAUAAUACAGGCUAUACCUUAUUUCGCAUCUCAUAGACGUAAGACUCCAACGCAUUCUUUUUGUCUUUGGUUUGUUCCAUAAUUCUGUCCUGUUGAGCUAACUGGAGUUCUUUUUCUUGAGCUUCUGAAAGUUCAGCCUUGGUCAUUCGACCAUAUAUACUUUCACUAACAGGUAUCUCUAGCCGCCUGGUGGGUUUUUUGUUUCUUUUAGCCUCACCCUGAAAGUGUGGAUAUCUUUCAAUAAGUUUACAUCUGCUCCACAAACUUUAAACAACUGAAUUUGAGGAACUUUGCAAAACCAAAACAGUAUGCAUUGCAGCUUAAGUAUAAACGACAAGAUUACUGUAGACUAACUAUAAGGGAAUUAUCGCAUUUAUUCAAAUUUUGGAUUUAUCUCUAGUUUUUCCAGCAUGAAAUAAAGGAAAUAAAUAAGAACUAAAUUACGAGGGAGUGCAUUUCUGUAACUUAUGAAGUUGGAAACAAACUUACACCAGUAUGUGAAGAGUUGUGCUGCAUGCUGCUUUCUUCAAAUCCAUCUGCAACUGCCUCAGUAGAACCAGAAGCAGUUACAUAAUCAGUGUCCAUUGGUUCCAUUUUUGAACCGGCAAGACCCCUUGUAGAAGAGUCAUCUCCGUGAUCUUCCAUCACCUAAAGCCAUUAUAAGAUUUAUACCACAAAACUUUCGACCAAAAAAAAAAGAGUACCACAAAACUAUGAUCCUAGGAAACCAGUAAAUGACAAAGUAGAUAUUGUCAGGAAAAAAACAAGUUUUACUUACCAUAGCUGAUUCAACAGAGACAACACCGUGGAGAUCCAACAUAACUUUAACUUUAACUUUAACCCUUGUUUUUUCGCCAUGGGAGCAUUGGAAAGGGCCAAUCUACAUAAACAGCAGCCCUUAUUGAGGAAGUAACAGUAAUCCAAUUAAAUAAAAGGUAUUUUCAUUGCAAGGUAAGCCAAAACAAAAGGAUCUAAAUGACAUUUGCAUUGAGCAGAUAGUAAAUCUUUUUAAUUGGGUUUUGUUGACAUCUCUCUCUCUCUAAUGCCCACACAUAAACAUUUAAUUGUUUGACAUGUCAAAUACUGGAGUCGUCUCCCCCAAGUGUUCUAUAAAUUGUCCAACUAAAAAAAAACAGAGAAGAUUUUACAUCAUCCUAAAUUCUUAUAGAGGCUUCAAAGAUUAGACAUUGAACUUAGUGCUCAGUGGUAACAUGAUUGCCCUUGAUUUACCUUCACUUCUCUAUGUGGUCAUCCUUUCUACACAUUUUUAUCAUGCAUCCCCACCAAUAAAAUUCUUAGUGUCACAUAUUCCCCUCU